rnacentral:rRNA from 1 species
ACGCUCGACACCUACGGGAGGCUGCAGUUGGGAAUAUUGGACAAUGGAGGAAACUCUGAUCCAGUGACGCCGCGUGAAGGAAGAAGGUCUUCGGAUUGUAAACUUAUUUUGUCAGGGAAGAAAAAAUGACUGUACCUGAAGAAAAAGCACCGGCUAACUACGUGCCAGCAGCCGCGGUAAUCUGAGCGGGCUGGCAAGGC